UACGAAGGGGGCUAGCGUUGUUCGGAAUCACUGGGCGUAAAGCGCACGCAGGCGGAUCGAUAAGUCGGGGGUGAAAGCCCGGGGCUCAACCUCGGAAUUGCCUUCGAUACUGUCGGUCUCGAGUCCGGGAGAGGUGAGUGGAAUUCCUAGUGUAGAGGUGAAAUUCGUAGAUAUUAGGAAGAACACCAGUGGCGAAGGCGGCUCUCUGGGCUGCAACUGACGCUCAGACGCGAAAGCUAGGGGAGCGAACAGG
rnacentral:rRNA from 1 species